rfam:Triticum aestivum genome assembly, contig: Triticum_aestivum_CS42_TGACv1_scaffold_330038_4BS
UAGGUAGUCCCUCUGUCUCAAAAUUCUUGUCUUAAAUUUGUCUAGAUACAGAUGUAUCUAAUACUAAAACAUGACUUGAUACAUCUGUAUUUAGACAAAUUUGAUACAUCUGUAUUUAGACAAAUCUAAGACAAGAAUUUUGGAACGGAGGGAGUAAUUG